rnacentral:rRNA from 1 species
UACGUAGGGUCCGAGCGUUGUCCGGAAUUAUUGGGCGUAAAGGGCUCGUAGGCGGUCUGUCGCGUCGGGAGUGAAAACUUACAGCUUAACUGUGAGCGUGCUUCCGAUACGGGCAGACUUGAGGUAUUCAGGGGAGAACGGAAUUCCUGGUGUAGCGGUGAAAUGCGCAGAUAUCAGGAGGAACACCGAUGGCGAAGGCAGCUCGCUGGGACGGUACUGACGCUGAGGCGCGAAAGCGUGGGGAGCAAACAGG